rnacentral:rRNA from 1 species
UACGUAGGGUGCAAGCGUUGUCCGGAAUUAUUGGGCGUAAAGAGUCCGUAGGCGGUCUGUCGCGUCUGCUGUGAAAACUCGGGGCUUAACCCCGGGCCUGCAGUGGGUACGGGCAGACUAGAGUGCGGUAGGGGAGACUGGAAUUCCUGGUGUAGCGGUGAAAUGCGCAGAUAUCAGGAGGAACACCGGUGGCGAAGGCGGGUCUCUGGGCCGUAACUGACGCUGAGGAGCGAAAGCGUGGGGAGCGAACAGG